UGAACGCUGGCGGCAGGCUUAACACAUGCAAGUCGAGCGGUAACAGGGGGAGCUUGCUCCCUGCUGACGAGCGGCGGACGGGUGAGUAAUGCAUAGGAAUCUGCCCAGUAGUGGGGGAUAGCCCGGGGAAACCCGGAUUAAUACCGCAUACGCCCUUUGGGGGAAAGCAGGGGAUCUUCGGACCUUGCGCUAUUGGAUGAGCCUAUGUCGGAUUAGCUAGUUGGUGGGGUAACGGCCCACCAAGGCGACGAUCCGUAGCUGGUCUGAGAGGAUGAUCAGCCACAUCGGGACUGAGACACGGCCCGAACUCCUACGGGAGGCAGCAGUGGGGAAUAUUGGACAAUGGGGGCAACCCUGAUCCAGCCAUGCCGCGUGUGUGAAGAAGGCUUUCGGGUUGUAAAGCACUUUCAGUGAGGAGGAAAACCUUAUGGCUAAUAUCCAUGAGGCUUGACGUUACUCACAGAAGAAGCACCGGCUAACUCC
rnacentral:rRNA from 1 species